rnacentral:lncRNA from 1 species
CUCUCUUGUCUUUUAUGUGGAUGAUUGCCUGCUGAUUCCUCAUGCCAUGAUUCAGGAUGCUAUUACCCUUACUGCCAUUAUUGACACUUACUAUUAUCAUUCUGAUCAAAAUGUCAACUAUGAAAAGUCCUCCAUCUGUUUCAACCCUUCCACUCCUAUGUCUGUUAAACCGUUUAUUGUUCACAUGCUUUGUAUCUCUAUCCACCCUUUACCCUGGAACUAUUUGGGUGUGCCUUAGUCGCCUUGCAUUUUAUGACAUAUAC